GGGGGAGGGGAGGGGAGCGGGCGAGAGCCCGGGGGCGCCGAGCGGCGGCGACCCCCUCCUCCCAGAGGAACGCCUCCCCCGGCUGGGACCAAGGAAAGGGCACGCGAACCUCCCCCCCCACUCCAACCCUGGGCGCGAGGACUUCUGUCGGCCCCCCGGAGAGAAAUAGAGAGAUUUUGUGUGUGUAUGUGUGUGUGUGAGGAGUCAGAGACAGAGACAAGAGAGAGAGCGACAGAGAACAAGAAGGAGGAAGGACAGCCCCCCCUCCCCAUGGGCACAGGGACCCCGACCUGGCAAGGACUAGGGAACAGGUGCCAGGACCAACCCCCGCCCCAGGGCCUAGACCCCUUCCCAGCAAUGGGAGGGAGCGCACGCACGCACCCCUAGGAAUGGGGAGGGGGCUCACGCGCGAAACCCUCCUUCGUCUCCCCGCCAUCUCGGCUCUUUGCGGGGUGGAGGGGAGCACUGCCCAUCAGCCCAGAGACCCGCAGGGAGCGUCCCCCCACCCCAGAGGAAGGGAGCAGGGGCUCGAUGCCAGGACACCUGUUAGGCCUCCGCGCUCCCCGGGUAGGGGGGCUGUAGGGUGCCUGAAAGGCAGGGCUGUCUGGGAGAGAGGGGUCGGGCAGACCCCCGCAAUGGGGAGGGGAGCGCAGGAUGGGGACACCGGCUGGCCAGCUUGCAGUGGCCAAGAGCGCGAGCCUCGAGGAGGGGAAAUGACAGGUGCCCGGGGGCUGAGGCUGGGGGGUUGGGGGCAGGGCUGGGGGCCGGGCCGGCGGCACCCACCGGGCUUGGAGUUGUGCAGGGUUGAGGGUCGUCCCAACGCGUCUGGCUCUCCCUCGCCCCACACCCGCAGCCUGCCUGGCUCUGGGUCUAAAGGCUGUUGGUGACUUGUGCAGUCUCCCGCCUCCCCAUCCACCUACCGACCGAGACCUAGCCGAGCCGAGCCGGGUCUGGCGAUCCGGCCAAUGCCGCUGCAUCACCCAGUCUCAUACCUUGGCCCGGAGCGCUUGGGGACCACUCUCCAAAGCCUGAAAGUCAGGAGGAGAGCUCCGAAGCAAUGGUAGAUUCUUGAAACUGACAGCUAGAAGGUAUCUUGCAGAGCGAUGAGGAAAGCAAGGUUCAGGGAGGGUGUUCUGGGAUUCCAACUCAAAUUCUGGACUCCAAGUUCAUCCACUCAGCCACCAUGAAAGCUAAAAAAGGCUGUGGGGGAGCAUCACCUGCAACCAUAGCCAGAGAGAUUUCAAAAGCCGGGAACUUGAGGUCAAAAGCUAGCUCUUAGCCACUGGCCACAGUUGGGCAAGCAACCUUGAGUCACACAAUCCUUGACUUGUGCACAGCUGGAGGUGAACAUCCUCAGAGGAGAGGCUGGGGUUGGUUUACCAGGCUCUCUACUCUAGUUGGUCCGGGGAAGAUGGGAAAUAGACCUCAUCCUAGCUGCCCAAAUAAAUCCCUUUCCCACUAUUGCCAAUACAGACUCCAUGGUCUUACUCAUGGCUUUUACAUUAGCCCGCCCUCCCCCUACUACAUUGUAAGCUCCUAAAAGGUAGGAAGCAUCUGACACUUCUUCAUUUCCAAAGGUCUUAAGCUCCCCCCUCCCCCCCCACUGCGACUUGACCUAGGGUGCAUUUAAAUGUGUGUUAAUGAUCAUGACGACACACCAUGAGGCAGGUGGGUUUCUUCGGUGUCCUAGAAGGAAGGCAAGGAUCCCCUUCUGCCAAAGAAGAGCGGUAGCUGGUUUAGUGGCUAGGAGCUAGAAUGACCGAGUUCAAGUCUCAUCUCUGAUGUCUAUGACUGUGCGUGUAAUAUAGUUUGGAUAAUAAUGCCUACCUUCUCAACCACAAGUCCAGCUCCUUUAAAUGAACUACAAGGCAUCGGAACCACCAAGGAUAUCCGUUUCUUGUUGACAGGGGCAAUUUCCAGCCCUUUGCACUGGAGGUACUUAAUACGGAAUGGAAAUGUCUGACAGCUGGUUAUUAAACAUUUACUAUAACAUCCUUGUAAGAGGUGGCAUUUGAUCUGGAUCUUGGAGAAUGGAUAGAACUUAGAUGGAUGAAGAAGAAUGGAAAAAGCAUUUAAGAUGCAGUUGAAGCUACCUACAAACUGGUUUCCUGAAGAAAUGCACAGGAAUAGAUUCUCCAUCAAGGACACCCCCCAAAAGAGAUUGGUCUUGAUGAAAACCUCCCAGAAUUUUGACUAACCACCUUCCUCAACAAAGAUUGAGAGAUAUGAACUAGGAGACCCACCAUCAUUAUCUACCAACCUUGUGAUCUUUAUGGGUAUCCGGGAGUAGCAAAGAAGUCCUGGGAGCCAGCAAUCCUGGCUUCUAGUCUUACUCUGCCAUUAAUUACUCCCUGUGUAAUGCUGGGUAAAUUACUUCUAGCCCAACUCCAUUUUCUCCAUCUGGGAAAUCUGAGGAUUGACCUGGUUGACCUGGAUGAUGGCUUCCAGAGCUAACAUUCAGUGAUAUCCCUGCAUCUUACCAUUCUUACUACUCAAAUGAGCUCAUCUAUGUUGCAUAUUUUGUAAACCUGAAAGCCCUAUGUGAA